GAUGAACGCUGACAGAAUGCUUAACACAUGCAAGUCUACUUGAUUCUACUUCGGUAGUUGAUGGUGGCGGACGGGUGAGUAACGCGUAAAGAAUCUGCCCUUUAGUUUGGGAUAACCUUUGGAAACGGAGGCUAAUACCGGAUAUUAUGGAGACGUCGCAUGACGACUUCGUGAAAGCUAUAUGCGCUAGAGGAGGACUUUGCGUCCCAUUGGUUAGUUGGUGAGGUAAUGGCUCACCAAGACCGCGAUGGGUAGCCGGCCUGAGAGGGUGAUCGGCCACAAGGGAACUGAGAGACGGUCCUUACUCCUACGGGAGGCAGCAGUGGGGAAUAUUGGACAAUGGGCCACAAGCCUGAUCCAGCAGUUCUGUGUGCACGAUGAAGGUCUUCGGAUUGUAAAGUGCUUUCAGUAGGGAAGAAAAAAAUGACGGUACCUACAGAAGAAGCGACGGCUAAAUAUGUGCCAGCAGCCGCCGUAAUAC
rnacentral:rRNA from 1 species